rnacentral:rRNA from 1 species
UACGUAGGGUGCAAGCGUUAAUCGGAAUUACUGGGCGUAAAGCGUGCGCAGGCGGUUAUGUAAGACAGGUGUGAAAUCCCAGGGCUUAACCUUGGAACUGCAUUUGUGACUGCAUAGCUAGAGUACGGUAGGGGGGGAUGGAAUUCCGCGUGUAGCAGUGAAAUGCGUAGAUAUGCGGAGGAACACCGAUGGCGAAGGCAAUCCCCUGGACCUGUACUGACGCUCAUGCACGAAAGCGUGGGGAGCAAACAGG